rnacentral:rRNA from 1 species
GAAUUCACUAGUGAUUCAGGCCUAACACAUGCAAGUCGAGCGGCAGCGGGAAAGUAGCUUGCUACUUUUGCCGGCGAGCGGCGGACGGGUGAGUAAUGCCUGGGGAUCUGCCCAGUCGAGGGGGAUAACUACUGGAAACGGUAGCUAAUACCGCAUACGCCCUACGGGGGAAAGCAGGGGACCUUCGGGCCUUGCGCGAUUGGAUGAACCCAGGUGGGAUUAGCUAGUUGGUGAGGUAAUGGCUCACCAAGGCGACGAUCCCUAGCUGGUCUGAGAGGAUGAUCAGCCACACUGGAACUGAGACACGGUCCAGACUCCUACGGGAGGCAGCAGUGGGGAAUAUUGCACAAUGGGGGAAACCCUGAUGCAGCCAUGCCGCGUGUGUGAAGAAGGCCUUCGGGUUGUAAAGCACUUGCAGCGAGGAGGAAAGGUUGGUAGCUAAUAACUGCCAGCUGUGACGUACUCGCAGA